UGUAAUACAGCUAGUCCACCAGGAUGCCCAGAGGUGGCUUGGAUAUAAAUAAGCAGCGCUGACAGAUGGUUCAUUCUUGUCUGUGCUCCGGGCAAUCCAACAUAUGAAGAGGUACAAUACAGACUAAUUUCCAACUGGGACCAGGCUGAGUUUCUUCCGCCGGAGGUUGGGGAGCUCACUGAAAUACUCGUGUGUGUGUGUGUGAGACUGGGCGUUACUGACUCGGGACGUAUUCCUGAAAGAGUGGACAGAUGCUGCCAGACCUGUUGAGUUUCUCCAGCAAUUCCUGUUUUUGGUGUGUCCAACCCUUCAAACAUCACCCAUCCUACAGUUCACAGAAUCUGCAGAUUACCAAUGGAUUUAUCAGCCAUCUCAUAACCCAGGUGAAUGAGAGGCAAACCAUCCUCAAUCCUGAGAGAGACGACCUUUGAAGUUGACAAGUUGUUAAACAAUGCAUAACUACAGUGCAAUUAAAAAUGAAAAAAAAAACUGCCAUAGUUUCUCAACUUCAGAACCAAACAAAAAUAAGACAAAGGAGGAGGCUUAUAUGGAUUUUGACACAACUGUUUGGUUAUGGUGGAGUUUGGAAAUGUCGAGAAAAAAUGUAGCCAGCCUACCUGCAAUCUCAAAAAGCACAAGAGCAAAAAGGUGCCUUUUUUGGGGAAUCGUGCAUUCAGAGAGGUGGAAACGAUCACUCCCACUGGGACCUCCCGGUACGUCCCAGCACCUUCCAGUGGUGAUGCCCCCCGCACCAUAUUUAAAGGCGCGCACUACGUCAGAUGCUACGGACCAAAAAACGGGCCUCACGCUGUCACACCCGACCAUUCUUAGCCAGGAGAUGGCCCAUGGGAAAGAGAGGCUGAAGGCUUGAUCCUUGACACAGACCAGGAGGUGUUGGCGGAUAGGGUGGCGAAGUAUAGAGCAAUCCUUUCUCUGGCUGACUGAUUUGCUCUGGUGGUGAGUGUGGCAAUCUGCCCACAGCUCAGUCCUGUGUCUCGGGUAAUGUGUGAGGCCCAGCACCACAGGAAGGUCAGUGACCUCUUGCACUCCUCAUGAGGAAGCACCACUAUCUUUUCUCACCUAUCUCUCACUUACAGGGCCAUCACUCGAACUCUGUCUUUGCACACAAAUCUCAUCAAGGCAUGUGGACUGUAACUCUCACUAUCGCCUGCAGGAUCUCAACUCAAUAACUCUCACCCACCUCAUCCUCCCGAAUAUUAACCGAUACUCGCCCCUCUGUGCUUCCUACUCACUCACUGGGGCCAUCUCCUGCCCUUCCAUUCAUUUCCAUUGUACUCAAUCUCUCCCUUCGUCUCA